AAGAGAAAAUUAAUCAGAAACUUAACGGGAAGUUAUUUAAACAACGUCAACGAUCACUAAUUAAUGUUCUAGCUGGUGUAAUAAACACGACAUUCGAUAAGUUUUGUUCUAUGUUGUCACGACUUUAUAAGAGUUUUUAUCCAGUGUUCCUGGCAGGUGUAAUCGCUGCUACCGUUAUAAUUACAUACGCGGUAACUUGUAAGCUGGCACGAGGUGUAUGAAACAGAACACCCGUGUUAUAAUGACAGUCCUUGUCGCCAUGUGAGGUUAAAUAAGUUACUUUCAUUCAGAAUACUUUCUAAGCGAAUCAAAGAUUUCUUGAGACCAAUAUUUAAUCUUAUAUAUUCGGUAAAACGUUAUCAAAGUUUUUAAUAAAAUACAUAAACGUUUCUUUUCGGAAAACAGACAAAUUUCCUGAAGUAAGUAUUAGCUGCGGUCUUUGCGUUUGGCACUGAGCAAUUAUGGCGGUAGUUUUGAAACGUUGAAUCGAAUUUCGGUUGUUUUUCAGGCGUACUAAUCCAAACAGCACGUACUCAUGCCUUACACAGGAACUCAUCGAUGGAACCGAAUCUACGAAAUCGAGCGGCGCAUUUAUUGAAAAGAAGCGAUUUUACUGGAAAAAAAUAUUUUAUUUUGUUUUAGAAGAAGGGAUUUUACUCCGAAAAACAGAUGUAUCGGAAACAACCAAACAACGUUAGUAAUAAAAGGCGCCAAGUUUUGCAAUAUUUUAUCAGUUCUUCAAAAGAAAUAACAUGAACAAGUCAGCACUUCUACUUUUGCUUCUCAUCGGACUUCUCGUCCUCACUGAAACUACAACUGCGUGGUGGAGUAAGGUAGGUCGUCGUCGUGGUUCCCAUACCCCUUAUGACGAACUGGAAUUGUCACAAAUAAACGAAAUUCCAGACAUGGAGUCCGAGGACGGUUUCAUUUGGUAUAAUGGACAAGAAUAACUACUUAAUCGUGCAUAAGCUGCAAUCGUACGAUUUUAAUAAAUUGAACAUCAGCAAAACAU